GCAUUCAGGUAAUCGCUGCAUAUUUAUAUGUAGAGGAAAGUCCAUGCUCGCACGAGCUGCGAUGCUCGUAGUGUUCGUGCCUAGCGAAGUCAUAAGCUAGGGUAGUCUUUAUAAGACUAACGGCAAGGGAAGCACCUAAGUCAGCUGAUAUGGUGUGAUACCUUUGAAAGUGCCACAGUGACGUAGUCCAGCUGGAAACAGGUGGAGUGGAACGCGGUAAACCCCUCGAGCGAGAAACCCAAAAUUGGUAGGGGCAUCUUCUCAAUCGGAAAUGAACGAAAGAGAAGAACAAGGGAAUCCUUUGUAGAUAGAUGAUUGCCACCGGAGUACGAGGUUCAUCACCGUUUGUAGUACAAUGGAACAGAACAUGGCUUAUCGAA
rnacentral:RNase_P_RNA from 2 species